ACGAACGUUGGCGGCGUGCUUAACACAUGCAAGUCGAACGAGAAGAGAUGAGAAGCUUGCUUCUUAUCAAUUCGAGUGGCAAAACGGGUGAGUAACGCGUAAGCAACCUGCCCUUCAGAUGGGGACAACAGCUGGAAACGGCUGCUAAUACCGAAUACGUUCUUUUUGUCACAUGGCAGAGGGAAGAAAGGGAGGCUCUUCGGAGCUUUCGCUGAAGGAGGGGCUUGCGUCUGAUUAGCUAGUUGGAGGGGUAACGGCCCACCAAGGCGACGAUCAGUAGCCGGUCUGAGAGGAUGAACGGCCACAUUGGGACUGAGACACGGCCCAGACUCCUACGGGAGGCAGCAGUGGGGAAUCUUCCGCAAUGGACGAAAGUCUGACGAAGCAACGCCGCGUGAACGAUGACGGCCUUCGGGUUGUAAAGUUCUGUUAUACGGGACGAAUGGCGUAGCGGUCAAUACCCGUUACGAGUGACGGUACCGUAAGAGAAAGCCACGGCUAACUACGUG
rnacentral:rRNA from 1 species